UACGUAGGGUGCAAGCGUUAAUCGGAAUUACUGGGCGUAAAGGGUGCGCAGGCGGCUCUGCAAGUCAGAUGUGAAAUCCCCGGGCUUAACCUGGGAACUGCGUUUGAAACUACAGAGCUAGAGUGUGGCAGAGGGAGGUGGAAUUCCAUGUGUAGCAGUGAAAUGCGUAGAGAUAUGGAAGAACAUCGAUGGCGAAGGCAACCUCCUGGGUUAACACUGACGCUCAUGCACGAAAGCGUGGGGAGCAAACAGG
rnacentral:rRNA from 1 species